rnacentral:rRNA from 1 species
GCCUAUGGCCAUGCCACCCUGAACACACCCAAUCCCAUCUAAUCUCAGAAGCUAAGCAGGGUUGGGCCUGGGUAGUACUUGGAUGGGAGAACACCUGGGAAUACCAGUGCUGUAGGUA